CGCGCAAAUCUCCUCCGCGCGGUUGUCGUCACGUGACCACGAUGUGCGCGCGAAAGAGGGAAAAGAAGAAGCUGAAGGAAAUGUGUUGGACAAGAGUUACGCAAAUGCGCUACAAAAAUUUAUGUAUAACCUAACGUAACCAUCGUGAAGUUUGCCUCCGAUCACAUAUCGAAUGAAGUUAGUUUAUUAUCGCGACGCAUAGAUACAAAAAUGUCUGAAAAUUCCACGGAUUCUACCGUAAACGAAGAAGAAGAAGAAGAAGAAGAAGAAGAAGAACAAAGAGAUCGUAAUGUCAAAUCGGGUAGGAUAGCGAGGCGCUUGAAGGCUCUAAUUUGUUGCUUCGGGCGCGAACAAUCGCGCGAGGAGAUUCCCGAGUACAAUCCCGACGAAUACGAUUACAUCGUCGAAAAGCUCGUCGUGAGGCGCGUGCCGAUCGCGCUGUUCGCGAUCCCGAACGAUUUACGAAAUCGGCGCGGACCGGACGCAUCGGCGGCAUCGCUGACGUCAAGCGUCACUUCCGCAUCAGCGUCCACAUCCACGUUCGGUGGAAGUAGUAUUGUUGUCGCACGCGAGACGUAUCUCGCGGAUAAACCUUCCGACGAGGACCGAGUCUCGAUUGGAAAAAAGCGGCAGGUUCGUGUGAAUUUAAAAGAAUUCAAGAUGUCGCCGAAAUAUUCAACGAAUAUUCCAGAAAGCAAGCGAUUGUGUUUCGCACCGAAUAUUUCUGGAGUAAGACCGUUCAGCGCGGUCUCUUCCAAGACGGCAUCAUCUGUGAUCACCCAAGAUGGUACUUUGGACAAAUUCGUUCCUCGUGUAUCGAAUUCCAAUUUCGAGAGUAAAAAACCUGGUAAGAGGCUCGAGUUCUCUUCUCAAGCGGAAGAGAACUCGAGCCAUUUGCAAGGCGCAUCCAUCGGAAAGGUUCGGGAUAAUUUGAUUCCCGCGCGAAACAGAAGGUACAUAGUGUCGCCCUUCCGAGUGCAAAGAGGUUCCUUCGAUCUCGCGAAACCGAUGAGCGUCGUCGGAGACUCGAACGACAAAUCGUUGACGUAUGUCGAAAAAUCAGUCGAGAACGAACUCUCGGAACCGAUAGAGAAUUCAAAAGAAGACGAUCCCAGAUCGAAUGCAGCAAUGAGAUGGCGAAUCACCGUCAAACACCGGCGCAAGAACGCGGAUUCCGACUUGUAAAUUUGUUCAAACAAGCACGAAAGAAGAGAAUUUUUAUAACUUCAACGAUUCGCGCUAUGUAAUACAAUGGAGAUAUUUAAAAAAAAAAAACAAAACUCGAUAAUAAUAGAAUCGCAAAGAGAUUCAAUUGUAAAAUAUAUUUUUAUGGAGAAUAAUUUUUUCCGAGCUGCGUAAUUACAAAAGAGCGAAACUUUAUAUCGAUGAGAACGGCAGCCUCAUGUUUUUUUUGCGCCAGCCAGCUGUCCACCCGCGUCCGUACUGUGGUCUGUAGGUUUUUCCGCACCUGUGGACGUUGCCGUGGCGACGACAGUGAUGUGUCGUAAUGGCAGCGAUCGAGAUAUUUUCGAGCUCCGUGACUUAUAAGUAUAAAAGUAAAAUAUAUUCAUGUGCCUCGACUGUUGUUUUCUUACUGAUCGUGUUAUCUCUGCUCACGCCGCUCCUUAUAAUCUACCAUACCGGAGGUUUCUUGAUGAAAAAUCGAAUGCACGCUGAAACGCCGGACGUGCACUUUGAAUACAAAUAUUUGUUGCUCGCCGAAGUAGAUCCCUACGAGAAGCCAAUCGUGUGUUCUACUUUUAAAACGUACAAGGAAAAUGCGAUCGAAGAUCACUGCACACUAGUCAAGGUACUGGAGAACGAUCUGAAUCGCGACGGUCAAAAAGAUUCGUUGAAAUUUGAAGCGUACUUUUACACGAAUAAACCGGUGAAAUCUCUCAGACUCUUGUUGUUCUUCAAUUUUCAGUUAAAGCAUCUCAUACAAGCAACGAUAGAGUCUGUCGGUGUGUUUGAUCAAGUGUUAAAUCAAGAAGCUCAAGAGAUACGAUUCUUCGGCGAUUUGGAGCUGCGGCAAAAAGGACUUUUGCGUAGCGAAGGUCUUUACGAAAACUACAACCACAGCAUAGAAUUGGCCGAUUAUUCUCUACCCGAUUUGCUACUGUAUACUUUCAACAGAAAAUUUUCAGCUAGAAUUACAAACGAGCGGGUAACGUGGCGUGCUGGUUUUUCUAGUGAUGAAACGGUAGCCGUUAUUGGCGAAUUGUUUUACGCAGAGAACUUUAUUUUCUAUCAGCCGAGUGUAUGGGAAGAAUUGAAGUGGGCGUGGAUUCAAUAUCUAUCAUGUUUACUGGUGUUCGCAUACGUGGCCAAGCAUGUCCUGGUGUUUCUGUUCACCAACAGAUAUCUCAGCACGUAUAUUGUAAAGCCAUGGAUGAAUAAAUAGGUGGUAAAUAAACAAACAUCACCCACAUAAGUCCACAUCUUUUUUGCGCGAAGCAACUUUUAAAAAAUAUUUUUAUAUCUCUUAUAUAUAUAAAAGCAGUUUUAAAAAACAACAUCUCUAUGUUCUUAACACGUGUUUACGCUAUCGGUCGCGAUAUCGGCGUAUGUAAAUU